rnacentral:lncRNA from 1 species
GGGGACGACAAGGAAGGGGGAUAACAUUUGAAAUGUAAAUAAAGAAAAUAUCCAAGAAAAAAGAAAAAAGUUGAUUUCUUAAUUCACAUACUCAAAACUCACUCAUAUAUGGUAAAAUAUAUGCCAGGCAUUAUGCUAUGCUAAAUAUGUGAUAUGUAUAAAUUAUUUCACAGCAUUAUCUCAGGUUGUAAGUACAGAAAAAUGAUAUGUAUUGAGCUGGGGUUAUAUAGAGCUCAGUGAUAGAGCAUUUGCUUAGCACAUGCAAAGCCCUGUGUUCAGUUCCCUGAACCACCUAAAAAAGUGGCAAGGGUGUAACUAUGUCCCAAGUAGGACAGGAACAUAAGGAGGGACCAUCAGUCACUCUGAGAAGCCAGGGAAGCAUCACCAAUCAGGAAGUGUUUGAGCUCAUUCUUCAUGGGGUCAAUACUGCUGAUAUAGCAAAACUUAAAUAUUUGGUGCUGGCAAGAAUCUCUAGUGAGAAACUCUGAACUCUUCUCUUAGUGUACCUACAUAAAGACAAACAGACAGACAGACAGGUAUACAUAUACAUAUACAUUUGGUAAUUAAUUCUUGCUAGCAGCAGAGGGGAGUUAAGUAAGGAUUGUUCCAGUUCCCUUCUCUAUUUGCCUGGGAGCCACACCUCUCUCUCUCUGGCCAGGUGAGAGGGAGGCCUGCAGCAAUUAACUCUUUGUGAGCCAGGAAAAGAAAGUCACGCUCACAGGAAAAACAAGUGUUACAUAGGUAAAUAUUCAUAGACACACACACAUUCAUACGCACAUUCAUGUUGGGCCCGACUGCCUGUCUCAUCCUCUCCACAAGUAUAUAUGUAUACUUACAUAUAUACACCUAUACUUAUGUAUACACAUAUUUGGUGGAUGGAGCAAAAGCCCCCACAAGGAGGUUUCAUUGAGCAAGUGCCAGCACAGAAAGAACUCCCUCAUUCUGGAUAAAAGUAAACUCCAACCUUUAUUGCUUAGAGAAAGAAAAACUUCUAUCUUUUCAUUGAAUAUGAAAAAACCCUGUCCUCGUCAGUAAGAAGAAAUCUGGUGUUAAGAAAAAAUGUGUCUAGUAAGAAGCCUGCCUGCUCUCUCUGCUUUUUCUCUUUUUCUGCUCUCACCUUCUCAUUAUUCCUAGCUCUUGUACUUUUUCAGGAUACAUGAUCACAUGGUAUUCUGAACAUCUAUUUUUUUUAAAAGUUCACAAGUUCAAACAUAGAUUCAAAUCAUAAAUUGAAUAAAGAGUUACAACAGAAAUGUUUACAUGUAUUUAGUAGUUGUCUAAUUAAACAUUUAUUAUCUGCCAUUAGCUCCGAAAGUUCAUUAAGAGUUUAAAACAAUAAUUCUUAUGUCUAAGUUAGCAUGGUUUUUUCACAAGGCAAGUCAUCUACCUAGUGUCUUAUUAAUUUUGAGGUUUUGUACAGAUAAACCAGAUAAUAUUUAAUUUUUGUCUUUACACCUAAAAUAAAUUGUUCAUUCUCAGUUUACAGUGUUUAGUUAUCAGGUAAUGGUUUCAUACCCAGCCCAGAAGGAAUGCAUUCCCUGAUUGUAAGUAAGUCUGCUUUCUCUCUUAGGCAAUUAGCUCAUGACACAUGAAGGUUUACAGAGCCCUCAUUGCAGCUUUAAUAUUACAGAGGGCUCAAAAUUACUUGUAUAAACUUAGGAAUUCUGUAGAAUCAUUAUUAGGAAUUAUGAAAUCAUCAGUUUGUCUACAUAGCAUCACUACAAGAACAGUACAUCUUCACUGAGCUGCAGAAAAUCUGCCCAGUAGGGUGGGCUAAUGCCUAGGAAUUGUUAUAUUAAUGCAAUAAUGACAGGAAACACAUAUCAACUGCAAGAAGCAAUCCUGAGAUGAAGUCUCUUUGGGGCCUUGCCUCUUCGAGCUCACCAAUCUCAGACCAUGCAAAAACAAUGGGCCACCUUCAGGAAAGUCACAUGCUAACCUUAGCCUGUUCUACAUGUCUCCUGACAGGUCAGGUGGUCAGGGUCAGAUCUUGAAGGAUUCUACAUGUUAUAAAGUUUAGAUGUGGUUUUUAAAAGGAUUUGUCUUGGGCUGGAGAGAUGGCUUAGUGGUUAAGAGCACUGACUGCUUUGCCAGAGGUCCCGAGUUCAACUCCCAGCAACCACAUGGUAGCUCACAACUAUCUGCAAUGGGAUCCGAUAACCUAUUCUGGUGUGUCUGGAGACAACGACAGUGUCCUUACAUACAUAAAAUAAAUAAAUCUUUUUUUUAAAAAAAGGAUUUGUCUUGAGUAUUUAUACGGGUUUUAGCUGUUUGAAAAUUUUAUAUAUGUAUCUUGAUUAAAUCCACCCCUUUCUCUUUUUUGAGGAGGGGGGAUGUGAAAAGAGGUUUCUCUGUAUAACCCUGACUGUCCUGGAACUAUGUAGACUGGGCUAGCCUCAGAGAUUCACCUGCCUCUACCUCCCAAGUGCUGGGAUUAAGGGUAUGUACCACCACACCCACCUGAUCCCUUUUUAUCUAUCCUCCAUAUGACUUUUCCCUCCCUACAUUAUGUGUUUUGUUUUGUUUUUUAACCCACUGAGUCUACCUAGUGCUGCCUCUGUGUGCAUGGGAAAGCUGACCAGCAGCCAUCAGUUCCUCACUAAAGUUGGAACUUCAUGAAUCCCUCCCCAAUGCAUGCUGGGAUUUUGGCUGGCUUGAUCUUGUACAGGACUUGUACAGGAAGUCCCAGCCUCUGUGGGCUCAUGUGUGUAACAGCACUGCCAUGUCCAUUAACUACUGUUCUGAUGCAGAGGUCCACUACCUCUGUCUCUUAUAGUCUCCCCUCCUUUCCAGGGUGAUCCUUGAGCUUGGAGGGAGUGGGCAUGGUAUAGCUGUCCCUUUUAAGGCUGGACACCUACAACAGUCUCUCACCCUCUGCAUAUUGGCCAGGUGUGAUCUCUGCAUUUCUCACUGUUGUAAAAAGAAGCUUCUCUAGUGAGGGCUAAGAGAUGCACUACUCUACCAUUGGCAGGAGCUUGGUGGAUCAGAAAGUACAGGCCAGGUUAGAAGCUUGUCUUUUAAAUGAUCCCCCACCAAAUAGUUGUUCUUUAUCAGAAGAUCUGAUAACUUUUGAUGGCUCUGCUUACCUUUAAGGAUGUAUUUUUUUAAUAUCUCAGAAAUCUUGAUUUUAUAGAGACCUAGCACAGGACAGGCGAAACUCCAUGU